rnacentral:rRNA from 1 species
UACGAAGGGGGCUAGCGUUGCUCGGAAUGACUGGGCGUAAAGGGCGCGUAGGCGGAUGGCACAGUCAGAUGUGAAAUUCCUGGGCUUAACCUGGGGGCUGCAUUUGAUACGUGUGAUCUAGAGUGAGGAAGAGGGUUGUGGAAUUCCCAGUGUAGAGGUGAAAUUCGUAGAUAUUGGGAAGAACACCGGUGGCGAAGGCGGCGACCUGGUCCUUAACUGACUCUGAGGCGCGAAAGCGUGGGGAGCAAACAGG